rnacentral:rRNA from 1 species
CCUACGGGAGGCUGCAGUGGGGAAUAUUGCACAAUGGGCGCAAGCCUGAUGCAGCCAUGCCGCGUGUGUGAAGAAGGCCUUCGGGUUGUAAAGCACUUUCAGCGGGGAGGAAGGCGGUGAGGUUAAUAACCUCAUCGAUUGACGUUACCCGCAGAAGAAGCACCGGCUAACUCCGUGCCAGCAGCCGCGGUGAAUACGGAGGGUGCAAGCGUUAAUCGGAAUUACUGGGCGUAAAGCGCACGCAGGCGGUCUGUCAAGUCGGAUGUGAAAUCCCCGGGCUCAACCUGGGAACUGCAUUCGAAACUGGCAGGCUAGAGUCUUGUAGAGGGGGGUAGAAUUCCAGGUGUAGCGGUGAAAUGCGUAGAGAUCUGGAGGAAUACCGGUGGCGAAGGCGGCCCCCUGGACAAAGACUGACGCUCAGGUGUGAAAGCGUGGGGAGCAAACAGGAUUAGGUACCCCAGUAGUC